AUUGAGCAUUUGGGAACUGCUGUGGGCCAUCCAGAUAUAUCAUUCUUCUGGGCAGGCGACAUAAACAAGGAUUUCUGCUUCCAGUUAGAAGCAAAGCAGCAUACUGCUCGGAGAAAACCUCUCUGAAGAGAUCACUUUUCUGUGGAGAUCGGAAAGAUGCCAAAGCUUUCGUGUCAUCCUCACUUAUUAAAGAGAAAGAAGUAAAAGGUGCUAUGGCCUGGGAAGGAUCCCACCUUCAUGUCUGCUACCGUGACCCUUUCUGACAUCACCUGUGACAUCUAUGACCUGGAACUUGGCAGGUCCACAUCUGGGCUGUUCUGGAAAUCAUACUCCACAUCCCGGUCCCUGCUGAUCCUUUUGAUACGCAUUACCAGUGCAGUUUCAAGGAAGAAAGGGAAAAUGAAGGAAAAACUGGGAAAAUGAAGGCUGGGUGCAGUGGCUCACACCUAUAAUCCUAGUACUCCAGGAGGCCAACGCGGGUGGAUUGCCUGAGCUCAGGAGUUCAAGGCCAGCCUAAGCAAGUGUGAGAACACAUUUCUAAAAACAGCCAGGCGUUAUGGAUCGCCUGAGCCUAAGAGUUUGAGGUUUCUGUAAGCUAAGACACCACAGCACUCUACUGAGGGUGACCAGGUAAGACUUUGCUUCAAAAAAACCCAAACAAAACCAAACCAAACCUGGGAAAAUGUUAAAUAAUAAGGAAAGAUCAAAAUAAAAGUCUUAAUCUUAUAAAAGAGA